ensembl:lncRNA
AGCGGACAUUAGGAGCUACUUUACAGCAAGUCAAAGUGUAAAUCAUUUAAAAUAUUUUCUUAAUUUCUAAUGUGUAUACUCAACAACAAUGAUAAUAAUAAUACUGAACUGAGCCAUAAAUGUUUUCCCUCAAUGUUCAUGUGGCAUGCAUCAAUGUGUUAUUUUGUCGGGUCAGGUGACAGAAGCAGUCCUGCCAGGUAGUGUCUCAGACAGAGUAAGAAUGAGGCAGGUGGAGAGGCGGGGUCACAGGUGGAUGCAGUGAGCUACAGAUGUAGAGGCAGGCUUGGUGUUGAAAGUGAAAGUUUGGGAGGAGCCAUAUAGAGGACCAGAGCUCUGGAGGAGGACAAGUCAUUGCUGAGUACUCUCUCAAAGUAGCAGCAACACUCACAAACCGUAAGUAUCUGCACGAUUUCUUUAUAAGCUGAGUUUACAGGCUAUAGUUCAGUGUGAUUUUUUCCCAUAAUGCUCAGGCGGAACUGGUGUAUUUCUAAAGGAAAGCUUAGAGUUAGAUCAAGCUGAAUGAUAUAUGCAGAAGAAAGAGGUCAUGGCUGGAACAUGUCUUAUUCACUGUGUCCUGAUUCAAGUCCUGCUUAUCACAGUCUAUGCUCAAUUUCCAACAAACUGUGCAAAUCAAGCUACCACUGAGGGAAAACCAGUACAUCUAACCUGCAAUGUUACAUGUAAAAAAUGUGAAUUAGACAGCUAUACUUGGAAGCAUGGAGAAACUAAAAUCAACUGCAGUAAAAUGCGUAACUUUACUAGUGGCAACAGUCAUAUAUUUCAUUGCAUAAAUGAAAGUGCAUCAGCGAGUCACAGUGGAACAUUUACAUUUUGGGUACAAAUGAAAGAAGGAAUUGGUGAAACAAAAUUCAGCGUGACCAUAGAGCGGCCUGCUGCUAAUCUCACCACACCAGGUCCUGUUUCUACAACCAAUUCUCACGGUCAUGAAGAGAAACUUAAGACUUCACCUAAGGGUCGUUCACCUGAAGUUGCCUUGGCUGUAUUGUUCAUGAUUUGUCUUGCCUUAGGCCUCAUUGUUGCUGUUUUGUUUAUAAGAAAUAAAAACUGUAAUAUGUCAAUUUCAUCAAUAUUCACUCACAAAAUGAUCACAGAAACUGAAAUAAUAUAAUCCCAAUACAUACAGUAGUUGUGACACUGUCCCAAGCUCAGAAAGAUAAGCUUUCUUUAUGUCAGUCUCUGUCAUGGCAGAGGGAGAUUAAGGAAAUUAAGGAAAAAGGGGGAAAUUGUACAGUUAAGGGGAAAAUAUAAUCCCAUAUAUGUAGCAGAUUCUUUUCUUUCUUUCUUUUUCUAACGCUUCAUUUCUAGUUUCAGUGAAAUAUUUAUCUCUUACUUAUCACUGUGUGAUGCUUUUCAAUUGCUAAUGGAUUGGUGUGAACUGACUCCUUUUCUGAUUUUGAGAUUUUGUGGGAUCUGUUUUUAAACAUCUGUGGUGAUUUUUACCCGUAGCUUUUUUACAAUUAUUUACCUUCUCAGAAUGAAAAAGGUAACAUACCGUACAAACAUUUCUCACUGCUGUAAUAUACUCGAGAACAUGUUGUUUAUACUGUUACUUAUAUAAAUACAAAUAUAUAGUAUUAUAAUUAAUGGUAUAUAAUCUUUAAGAACAACUGUUGUACCUUUGACAACAAAAAUACUUGUACAGGGCUUUUUCACAGAACUCACUGUAAUCUGUGAUUUAAUUUUUUUUAAUACUAAUACUAAUACUACUAAUAAUAAUACAUGGCGGAGCAGAACACUGAAUAGAUUUUGGUGUUGCAGUUUUGUGUACUUUUGUAUAUUGUGUAUUCUGUUGUAUUGCCAGUUCUGUUGUAUUGUGUGCUUUUUUACUGUAAAUGUGAAUAUAUUAAUAAAUGUACAGAAUUCACACAGUUCUUGGGUGUUUAUAAUUCUACUGUGAUGAGAAUUUGCUCAGGCAAU